GCUAGGCCAAAGCAACUCAAACUUGCUUCAUGAAUUGUUUGCUGAACACAAAACGUGGCAUUGCAGUUUACACAAUUUUUUAAUUUUAUAUUGUCGAAAAUAACCCUUUGGUUUUCUCCUCUCAUCGUUCUUUCUCUGCUCUCUCUACUGUUCUUUCCUCCCUCCAAUCUCUCACAGACCUCACACAUUCACUUUUUUUGGAGCCGAUUGGAGAUCCAAAAACCUUUGGGAAUAAUUGAAGUCUGUCAACAGAUCAUUCGGGGUAAAAAAGACUACUAAUUUCCAACUCAAAUCCCCGGCCUAAACUCAAACCAGACACCAUAUCUGCUGCUUCCUUCAAGCCUUUUCGUGGUGAUGAUGCUUCUUCAAAACCUAGAAAUAGUUGAAGACACGCUGAAAUUAUUAUGAAUUUCAAGGAACCAAAGAUCUAACAUCUUUGUCUCUUGAAAAGAACAACAAACUCCCGAUUUGUGUUGAGACACAUCUAACACUACAGAACACGCUGAAAUUAAUGAUGAUGCUCAAGGUAAUGUUCUUGAUAAUAUAUUUCAACAUCUUUAUGUAACUCAAAUUCCCAAUAUCUACAUAUAUCAUUCCCAUCUUCUUCGUAUUACAAUUUUUUGGCGUUUUGUUUUCUGUCAGGAGCUAAAAAGGGCUUAAUAAUCUGUCUUCUAGAAAAUACAACAAACACUCGAUCUUUGUUUUUUUUCUUCAGGUUACAUGUUUUAAUGUUUAGAUAUAACUGGGAAAAAAUUGAAGCCAUGUCCUUAUGUAUUUCUAAUGCACUACCACUAUAUAUGUCAAUAUUUGCAUUUUCUAAGUUCAAAUUUUUUAAAGGUUUAGAAUUUUUUUGUUUGUAAUAUUAUAAAUUGUGUGCUACUUUAACGUGGGAUCAAUCAACAUCUUAUGAAUAAAUGAACUUGAUUAUAUGCUUAAUGAUUUGGUUUUCUUAUUCUGUAAUUUUUUUAUAAACUUGUAUGGGUUUCUUUUAAUUGUUUUUUUUACAAACUUGGUUCAGUGCAUGUUUGUUAUGUCUUUGUUGCAUUGAGUGCUAUAAUAUCAAUCUUUUUUUUUAAGUUGCAUGUUUUAAGGUUGAGAUAUAACCGGGAAACAAUUGAAGUCAUGUUCUUAUGCAUGUACUGCCACUGUAUAUGUAAAUAUUUGCAUUUUCAAAGUUACAUGUUUUAAGGCUUAGAUUUUUAUUAUUUGUAAUAUUAUAAAUUGUGUGUUGCUUUAAGUGGGAUCAAGCAACAUCUUAUUAAUAACUGAACUUAAUUAUAUGCUUAAUGAUUUGGUUUUCUUAUUUUGGAACUCUUUUUUCUUAACUUGCAUGGUUUUUUUUUUAAUUGUUGUUUUGAGAAACUUGGUUCAGUCUUGUCUGUUAUUUCUUUGUUGCAUUGAGUGUUAUAAUAUCACUUUAUUUGUUAUUAAUGUUAUAUUUAUUUCAUCAACUAUAUCAAACACCUUAUGUUGUCAAGUAGUCAUUAGUCAUUGCUGCUUUCACAUAUCAAAACUACAACUCAUUAUCACAACAAACUUAUGUGUUGUCAACGUCUUUUAUUACAUUGCUUCUAGAAAAUUAACCUAUUAAUUAUAUGUUAGAAAAAACAUUUUAACCGAGAAUAUUGAAGAUUCUCAAUAACAAGAUAAGGCUUGUUGAACUAGAGAGAUGUUGAACACAUUUUAUAACAUUUAUAUCAAAGUAAUUGAGAAAGGUAUGCGAUCAAACAUACAUUUCGACAAAGCUAGUUAGAAAUAUGUUAUGAAUUGCUUUAAGGAGCAAAUUGGACAUGCAUUAACGAAAGCACAAUUAAAAAAUAAGUGAGAUGGAAUAAAAAAGGAUUGGAGAAUAUGGAAAAAGUUGAUUUCUAAAACUGGAGUAAACUGGAGUACUAAAUUUGAAACAAUUUCGACAAUUGACGAGUGGUGGAAAUCUAAAAUCAAGGUCUGUUUUUUGUUUCUGUUUGUAUACAAUUACUAUGAACUGUUUUAUUUUUUGUUCUUACAAUCAUUAUGAUUCAUUUAUAUCUUUAGUUUCCCUUGUUGUAGGAGAUAUGAGGAGUUAGAAAGUUUAGGCAUUCUGGUAUUAAUCCCGCAUUGUGUUGUAUGUUAGUUAGAAGAAACUAUAUUAUAUUUGUUUUAACUACAAAUUUUGACAGUAAGUUGAAGAAUAAAUAUGAGUUUUUAUUUU